CCUUUUUGUAAAAUAGAAAAUUAAAAUAAAUUUUAGAUCUACUUGAAGUCAGACAUUCUUUCCGCAAGAGAGAAUGCUCUCAGUAUCUGAGAUAGCAACCAAGCCCCAGUAUUUGGUUCAGUGGUUGCUAAAGCAGAAAAGAUUGAAGGAAGCUGAUUUUUUUUAAACCCUCCAAAGGGGAUCUGAAAGUGUCUCUGUGUCAAUGAGGAUAAUAUCUACAUUACUUAAGCCUCAAAUGAAUGAUUGUCUCUACAAUGGUCAGCCCCCAUGCCUGGAAUGUUCUUUCUUCUGGUCUGCCCCUUCUGGCUUCCUUCAAGACUUUGCACUAGCUCCACCUCCCCGAAGAAAUCCUUUCUGAUGAAACCUCCUACCCUUUCCAAAGCUCUAGUGUGUUCCCUCUGAGAUUCUCUCCCAUUUACAAAGUUUAUUUGUUCAUUUGUUUGGUUGUUCAUUUGUUUGUUUAUCUCCAUAAUUGUUUCCAUGUGUUCCCCUGAUACCUCCCAUUUGCCUCUUCCUUAUGUCUUCAGCAUUUAGGGCAGUGCCAAG